CAGUCGCCGCGGGAAUACGAAGGGGGCUAGCGUUGUUCGGAAUUACUGGGCGUAAAGCGCACGUAGGCGGAUAUUUAAGUCAGGGGUGAAAUCCCGCAGCUCAACUGCGGAACUGCCUUUGAUACUGGGUAUCUUGAGUAUGGAAGAGGUUAGUGGAAUUGCGAGUGUAGAGGUGAAAUUCGUAGAUAUUCGCAGGAACACCAGUGGCGAAGGCGGCUAACUGGUCCAUAACUGACGCUGAGGUGCGAAAGCGUGGGGAGCAAACAGGAUUAGAGACCCCCGUAGUCCCUGUCUCUUAUAC
rnacentral:rRNA from 1 species